UACGGGGGGGGCAAGCGUUGUUCGGAAUUACUGGGCGUAAAGGGCUCGCAGGCGGCCAACUAAGUCAUACGUGAAAUCCCUCGGCUUAACCGGGGAACUGCGUCUGAUACUGGAUGGCUUGAGUUCGGGAGAGGGAUGCGGAAUUCCAGGUGUAGCGGUGAAAUGCGUAGAUAUGCGGAGGAACACCGAUGGCGAAGGCGGCAUCCUGGACCUAUACUGACGCUGAUGCGCGAAAGCCAGGGGAGCAAACGGG
rnacentral:rRNA from 1 species